AUACUGAUGAAUAUAAAGGUUUUCGGUUUUGACUAAAGAUCGUGGUUUCAGCAAGAUCCGUAUUAACAACUUAUUACCUAAACUCAUUCCCGAUUUUAUUUUUGUUUUUGGCUCACAAUAAGGUGAGGUCAGUUUCUUUCAAAAAAUCCACAUUAUCACUUACAAUAAAUUUAAAUUAAGCUAACAAUUAACUCGAAGCAUGAGAAAUACAUUUAUUUCGAUUGAUUGCAUUGCCUCAAGAAAGGCGCGUCCAUUCGCUCCACUCUUUGUCACUCUAUACUGUCCGAUUCCAUUCACAUGACUUCAUUUCCUCUCCACCCCGUCCAGCUACAAGCAAGUCAGCAAUCGUUUAUUAUCAUUUCGGCUUGUCGUCGAGCACGUUUGACCGUCUGCUAUUGCGAUUGCGACUGCGUCUGCGACCUGCCUUGCCAUAUCUGUCCGUCUGUCAGACAACAUCAAUCAACUCGAGACAAGACAUUCCACUCAACAACCGACGACAGCCGCAGCAGCACUCGCAGACGCAGCGGACGCGCUGAAGGCCAACCGAAGAUGCACUCGCGCACACUGUUUUGGCGCGCUAAGACGCUAUCAACUUCAGCUUUCAGCUUUUCGACAAUCGCUUAGGGACUCUUGGGGCUCUUGACGCAGUCUGUCUCCCCGUGUACACUUCAAUGUAACUUUAAAUUUCACAAUUUCUACUUCAUUACUUUUUCGAGUUCGAGAGCAUGGCAAGUACAUAAAAAUAAAAUUACGCCUACAACAACAAGUCACUGCUCAAGGCAAGUCUAUUACUGACACCGUCUGCGUCACUGUCGCUCAAUGCGCACACAUUUCAGCCUCAAUUCACUUAAGCGAGUCGUGCAGACUGACUGCGCUGUAAGUAUGCACCAAUUCCCAAAUCAACUGUCUCGACGCAAAGCGGUGUAGUCGCAUCUUCGGACCCCAAGUGCAGACGAUCAGACAACAACCUGGAAAACGUACGCAUUUCAUGCCAGAGGCAACAAUGCAACAAUAAUAACAAGUACAAAGAGGUUCGCGCAUCCGGACACAAUGUGGCCGGCUAAAAGACUAUAAUUUCGUGUAAUUGUUUUUGUUUUUCCACAAUUUUUUCCUUUCAUUUUUUUGUCAAGUACAAUUUCGCAAGCUGGGGUUGAGCUCUCCGACUGCUUGUCUCGCCGGCUGAUGUCUGUCACUGAUGACAUUGGUCCAGCGGUACAAACACAUCCACCCCUGUAGGUGUGUUGUUGGUGUCUGGAACAGUUGUCUGGCGUUGGAGUUGGCGGUGGAGUUGGCGGUGGAGUUGGCGGUGGAUCGGUAAUGACGCUAUGGUGGUGGCUUGCAGCGAGGGUGUCUGCGCUGCAGUCUAAAAUUCGCCGUUGCAAUGCACUUUUUCGCCUUUGCCAGCGGCCUAUCAAUUUUUGACGAGACAAUCUCGCGUGGUGUGCAACAAUAGCAACAAGAACAAUAAUAACGGACGACCGAAAAAUAUAGGCAGGCGCAAACAGUGCAGUUUGUCUGUCCAUCAGGCGAACUCAGCUCAGACGAAGUUGCACCGCAGCAACCAACAGUCAGCCAACAGUUGUUGCUGUCGUAGUUGUUAUUGUUGUCGCUGGUUUUUGCUGCCUGUCUGUGCAUAAAAUUACGAUAAGCCGCGUCAGUGUCUGCGUCUACAACCGCGACAGUCGGUUUGUACGACUGAGCCCGUUGUUGACCAUUGGACUUGGUCGCGGCAACAGUAAGUGACAAAAGUUUGUAUUUCCAUUCGUCUAUUUCUACGACAUUAAAGCUUGCUGGCUGUCGGCGGCACGUACUUUCAAAGAAUUCGUGAAGAGCUGAACUAGAUCAAAUGGCUUCAAAAAUUAUGAAAUGGCGAAUUUAAUAUUGAUUUAAUGGGAGAAUAACAUCUUUCUAUUGAGAAUAGUAUACGAUUAGCAUAUUUUUUCAGUUUUGGUGGGUGUUUAGAAACGACAUGAGAAACAUUAA